rnacentral:rRNA from 1 species
CCUACGGGAGGCAGCAGUGGGGGAUAUUGCACAAUGGGGGAAACCCUGAUGCAGCGACGCCGCGUGGGUGAAGAAGUACCUCGGUACGUAAAGCUCUGUCAGCAGGGAAGAAAAUGACGGUACCUGACUAAGAAGCCCCGGCUAACUAAGUGCCAGCAGCCGCGGUAAUACGUAGGGGGCAAGCGUUAUCCGGAUUUACUGGGUGUAAAGGGGGCGUAGACGGCGGCGCAAGUCUGGAGUGAAGUCCCGGGGCUUAACCCCGGGACUGCUCUUGAAACUGGGUGGCUGGAGUGCAGGAGGGGUAAGCGGAAUUCCUGGUGUAGCGGUGAAAUGCGUAGAUAUUAGGAGGAACACCGGUGGCGAAGGCGGCUUACUGGACUGCAACUGACGUUGAGGCCCGAAAGCGUGGGGAGCAAACAGGAUUAGAUACCCUUGUAGUC